rnacentral:rRNA from 1 species
GAUGAACGCUGGCGGCGUGCUUAACACAUGCAAGUCGAACGGAAAGGCCCAAGCUUGCUUGGGUACUCGAGUGGCGAACGGGUGAGUAACACGUGGGUGAUCUGCCCUGCACUUCGGGAUAAGCCUGGGAAACGAUGGCUAAUACCGCAUAGGUCUUUGAGUCACCUGGCUUAAAGAGGAAAGACGGCUUCGGCUGUCACUGAAGGAUGGUCCCGCGGUGCAUUAGCUAGUUGGUAAGGUAAUGGCUUACCAAGGCAAUGAUGCAUAGCCGACCUGAGAGGGUGAUCGGCCACAUUGGGACUGAGACACGGCCCAA